UUCUCAGGUGGAGUUAAUUAUUCUUCUUUUAUUGCUGAAAUCGGGAACUUGGUCGCAUUGACGGUUAACUAAUGAAUUCGGUGAUAUUUCAUGAUUUUCGAGAAAACAUGAGGACUCCGGUGAAUAGCAUCAUUCCUGCCUCAUGCGAAUCCUGUUUCAUUACCGAAAACUCUCCAGACUUGGGAGCAUAGAAUUCUUGUGAUGUCCGAAUGGUUACAUGCACCUCUUCACCUGCCACAUCUUUCCUGGGAUUGCAAGCGGUACAUAAAGGUUCAAAGGACAGACUUGUUAACUCUUCAUGUCUGUUCACCUUCUUCAGAGGGACUGGCUGAAGCUUCAAUAUGUUUCCUUCGACUCCAUGCUACACCUUGACUAAAUUUAAUAUUCACUCCGAAAAUGAAAAGACUUGUUAGGGUUUUACGCGCACCUUGUAGUUGUGAGAAGUAUGUUCACACUUUCGCAUGCAGAUUAAGCAUCAAACAUAGAACUUAUGCGACUGCAAAAGCUGACAUCCAUCACGACUAUUCCCUUUGAGCAAUUCAUAGACUUGAAGGAGCUCAAACAGUCCAAGUCACAAGUGAUAUUUCCUAUUUUAGAGAAUUUAAUAAAUCUUGUAUCCGUUUCUCGAUUCACGAAUACUGCGCCGCCUGCUAGGCGACUUGGCGAAAAACAAAGACCAAAGAAAGGUGACAGAGUUUAAAUUUGGAUGCAAACUCGAGGGCGUGGACCGUCGAGGGGGAGGGGUAGGAACAAAGCAAAGAGUCGUAGUGCUGACUCCAACCAUGGGGCUUCUGAUGCCCGCAAAGUGGCCAAAUUUUGUUUCUGUAUCUCGGCAAUUUACAUCGCGUACAACUUCCAAGGGAGGAUACAGGAAAAACUAUCAACUACGACUGGAAUCGAAAAGCAGCGAUUUGAUAAUCUCACCUUUCUCAACUUGGCGCAGUGCUUCGCAUGCUUCAUCUGGUCUUUCCUCGUGCUAAAGAUAUGGCCGGGGGAGGCAGGGCCAAAAGCUCCUAUUUCAGUGUACUGGGCAUGCAGCAUUUCCAAUACAAUUGGCCCUGCAUGUGGCAUGCUUGCGUUGAAAUACAUCGGCCACCCUGCUCAGGUGCUGUCAAAGUCCUCGAAAAUGAUUCCAGUAAUGCUGAUAGGAGCAGUCGUGUACGGGGUCCCUUACUCGCGUCAAGAGUAUCUCUGCACUUUCACCGUGGCCGCUGGCAUGACGCUAUUCGCCCUUCAGAGCUCAAGUAAGCGAGGAAUAUUCGCUGGUCCGAAAGCACUAUUCGGGUACGCUCUGUGUUUGCUAGAUCUUGGGUUGGACGGCUACACCAACGCCUCACAAGAUGCCCUAACAACCAGGUACCGCAAGGUGGACGCAUGGCACUUAAUGAUGGGGACGAACCUGUGGAGCGCAGCAUACACGGCACUGUUCAUGUUUUUGGUUCCAGGUGGCGGUGGGUACGACGCAGUGCGAUUCUACAUGCACCACCCCGAUGCAGCUCUAGACGUCUUGAUGUUUUGCUUCUGCGGAGCCAUCGGCCAGUAUUUCAUUUUCCUCACCAUUAGCCGAUACGGCGCUUUGACCAAUGCCACCAUCACCAGUACACGGAAGGUUGUGACCAUUCUCAUGUCCUCGAUUUGGAACGGGAGUCCGCUGUCCGCUCAGCAAUGGGGCGGCGUGGUCUUGGUGUUCGCAGGCCUCUCAUACCAAAUCUGGUGUCAGUACAAAAACAAGAAGGCAUGCAAAGCGGCGAAACUUGUCCGAUCUGCGAGCCCUGCUAGGUUCAGAGGCAGUAAGACGCGGCGAAAAUGCAAAUAACCAAACUUGAUCCCACGUUAUCCCAUGCACUGUUGCAGGAAUAUUAAAUGUUAUGUAAUUUACCAAAUUUUGAGUGAUUUGGAGAGACUUAUCUCAAUGGAGCAUUUUACAACUUGCUUUUUGAAUAAAGUUUAACAACCAAGAUUUUAGAAGAUGCUUUUUAUAAAGAUUUAUUGAUUAAACUUCUAAUUUUUUGUAAAAAAUAAUGAUAAUAUUUUUCAUGAUUCAACCAAAUCUUUGAAAAGUAAAAAAUCAUGACAUCAAAAAAUAGAAAAUUAUUGAUUGUGCUAUGGAAUCUGUUUUUACACUGAGUAUUAAAGCAAAUACAUUAGCUCGAAUAAAUGAAUAAAAUUUCACUUCAAAUUACUGAAGAACAGUGAUGAAAUACAGAAGCAAAAAAUGAUGCCAAUCGCAUGAGGAUGAAAUACAUGCAAAAUACAAUGUCAGCCUAAUUCUGAAGCAAUUCAGAUAGUUGUAAGUAUACAACACAAUAGUUGAAUGCAAAACAAAUUCAUAAUAGCAAACGACUACGAUAGCAAUUCUUAUUCAGUAUGAGCAUAAGCCAUAUUAACAUGUAGCUGUUAUGUACAAAUGCUGUGUUCAAUCUGUACAAAUGGCACAAUAUAAUUUUUAUGAAUACAUUUUGAUGAU